CCGUGUUUUUUUUUAUCACCUCAAUUAGCCAAUCAAGCAAUUGUACCUAAUAUGAAUACUAUAAGAUAGCAGUUCAGUUAAACCUCAAUAUAGGAGGAAAAACAACUCAGUAGUGUCAAGUAAACCGUAGGUUAAUUGUAGGAAGAAAUCAAAUAAUCCAGCAAUCAUGAAGCGAAUAGUUUGUGCUCGGAAAUCUACUUUGAAGUUGAUGGCUGCAUUGAAAACAGCCGGAGAAAAGCAUCUAUCAUCUUCAAAGGAGGAUAAUCUUGCACAAGAAUUGGAGUCCGAGUACAAUCAGCUUGUCGAUCAUUACGAGAAAGUAAGUACCGAGAUUUCAAAACAUAUCGUCCUUCCCCUCACGAAAGAAUGUAACCCCAUUUCAAUGUUGCCAAAUAUCCACCCGCAAAUUGCAUAUUAAUCAGGAGGAUCUUGCGCAAUGGUGUUGUUGCAUAUCGACGGUGAAACUACCAAACCACGUAUCUCGGUUUGCGACGUCGCAGACUUCCUGUCAUACUUUAUUUUUUAAAUGAAAAACUAUUUAACGUCCAGUCUCGAAAAUUUCUGUGAUUUUUCCUCUUCGUGUGAAGAAAAUUCUGUGAAAAUUUCAAGGAAUGAUAUUGAUUUGGUCUACUUCAAAAAAGUAAAAUGCGAGCGUAGAUUUUUAAACACCGCAAACGAGAUACGUGGUUUGGUAGUUUCACCGUCGAUAUCGUCCUUCCCCUCACGAAAGAAUGUAACUCCAUUUCAAUGUUGCCAAUAAUCCACCCGCAAAUUGCAUAUUAAUCAGGAGGAUCUUGGGCAAUGGUGUUGUUGCAUAUCGACGGUGGAACUACCAAACCACGUAUCUCGGUUUGCGACGUUGCAGACUUCCUGUCAUACUUUAUUUUUUAAAUGAAAAACUACUUAACGUCCAGUCUUGAAAAUUUCUGUGAUUUUUCCUCUUCGUGUGGAGGAAACUCUGUGAAAAUUUCAAGGAAUGAUAUUGAUUUGGUCUAUUUCAAAAAAUAAAAUGCGAGAGUAGAUUUUAAACACCGCAAACGAGAUACGUGGUUUGGUAGUUUCACCGUCGAUAUAUGAGGAAUUUGCGAUUUGACUGUUGAUUCUUAUGUAAAAGUUCGCGAGCAACACUAUGGUGCCACUGGUUUUCUCUGAAAUCAACUCCCAAGCUCAUAAAAAGCUCUCAAGUUGUGCAAUGGAUAAUUUGCAGGUGUCUGAAAUUUGAUAAAUUUUGUGUUUAAGUGAAAACUACUGAGUGAAGUGAACACGAGGAUACCCUU
rnacentral:lncRNA from 1 species